UACGUAGGGUGCGAGCGUUGUCCGGAAUUAUUGGGCGUAAAGAGCUUGUAGGCGGUUUGUCGCGUCUGCUGUGAAAAUCCGAGGCUCAACCUCGAACUUGCGGUGGGUACGGGCAGACUAGAGUGUGGUAGGGGAGACUGGAAUUCCUGGUGUAGCGGUGAAAUGCGCAGAUAUCAGGAGGAACACCGGUGGCGAAGGCGGGUCUCUGGGCCGAAACUGACGCUGAGGAGCGAAAGCGUGGGGAGCAAACAGG
rnacentral:rRNA from 1 species